GCAAGUCGUAACAUGGUAAGUGUACUGGAAAGUGCACUUGGAUUACA
rnacentral:rRNA from 1 species